UACGUAGGUGGCAAGCGUUGUCCGGAUUUACUGGGCGUAAAGAGCGCGCAGGCGGUCGUACAAGUCGCGUGUGAAAGCCCCCGGCUCAACUGGGGAGGGUCACGCGAUACUGUUCGACUCGAAGGCAGGAGAGGGAAGCAGAAUUCCCGGUGUAGUGGUGAAAUGCGUAGAUAUCGGGAGGAACACCAGUGGCGAAGGCGGCUUCCUGGCCUGUUCUUGACGCUGAGGCGCGAAAGCUAGGGGAGCAAACGGG
rnacentral:rRNA from 1 species